AAGGGAAGAAAGGAAAGGUUGAGUGGUCAGAGAUUGAACUUAACAAUGGAGAGUUUGAUCCUGGCUCAGGAUGAACGCUAGCGGCAGGCCUAAUACAUGCAAGUCGAGCGCCCAGCAAUGGGAGCGGCGGACGGGUGCGUAACACGUAUGCAACCUACCCAUGACAGGGGGAUACCCCGUGGAAACGCGGAUCAAUACCCUAUAGUAUUGUUGAUCGGCAUCGAUUGAUAAUUAAAGUUUUGAUACGGUCAUGGAUGGGCAUGCGUCCGAUUAGCUAGUUGGUAGGGUAAUGGCCUACCAAGGCGACGAUCGGUAACUGGUCUGAGAGGAUGAUCAGUCACACUGGCACUGAGACACGGGCCAGACUCCUACGGGAGGCAGCAGUAGGGAAUAUUGGGCAAUGGGGGCAACCCUGACCCAGCCAUGCCGCGUGAAGG
rnacentral:rRNA from 1 species